rnacentral:rRNA from 1 species
AAAACAAUUAGCUGUUAUCCCUGAAGAAUUUAAUUUAUUAACUUUUUUAAAAGUUCUAAAUACAAAUAUAUUUAUAUAAAAAUUUUGUUUUUUAGAAGUUUCAUUAAUUCUAAAACCGCCCCAGUUAAACUAUAAAUUUAAUUUAAAAAUAAUUAAACAAAUAGUAUAAAUUUUACAGGGUCUUCUCGUCCUAUUAAAUAAUUUUAUCUUUUUCAAUAAAAAAUAAAUUUUUAAUAAUUAAAUUGAGACAACUUUACGUUCAUUAACCCGUUCAUUCUAUUUUACAAUUAAUAAACUAAUUAUUAUGCUACCUUUGCAA